UGGUCACACAUGCGAGAUCUCUCCUUAAAAAGCAGAAUCAGAGCAAUCUCCAAAAGCAAAUCUAAAGAAAAUCCUUUCUAAUAACCGCUAGACAACUGCAAAAUAGAAAAACAAGACAACCACACAAAAAUCAAAUUGCCUUCUCUAGCCAUGGUGAUGGAAACCAAAAGAGACGACAACAAAACAAAAAGAAAAUAGGUACAAAACCUUUCCCAACCGCAACAGCACCAAAACACUUACGAUGAACAAGCCGAGCAAAGCUUUCAAAUCGGCAAACCAAGCUUGUACCUUUUCCUGAUCCCUUUCGCUUUCUCUCUCGGCUUCAUACUCUUUUGUUUUUAGUUAGUAUUA
rnacentral:lncRNA from 1 species